rnacentral:tRNA from 1 species
GCAAUGGUGGGUCAGUGGGAGAAUUCUCGACUUACAUGCAGGAGACCCAGGUACAAUUCCUGGCCAAUGUA